GGCCAAUUGGUCUAGUAGUAUGAUUCCUCCUUCGGGUUGACAAACCCGCUUUCAGAUAUGGAAGCUGGAUUGGAGGAGGUCCUGGGUUCAAUUCCCAGAUUGGCCC